rnacentral:rRNA from 1 species
GAUGAACGCUGGCGGCGUGCUUAACACAUGCAAGUCGAACGGAAAGGCUCCUGCUUGCAGGGGUACUCGAGUUGCGAACGGGUGAGUAACACGUGGGUGAUCUGCCCUGCACUUCGGGAUAAGCCUGGGAAACUUGGUCUAAUACCGGAUAGGACUAUGGUUUGGAUGCCAUUGUGGAAAGUUUUUCGGUGUGGGAUGAGCUCGCGGCCUAUCAGCUUGUUGGUGGGGUAAUGGCCUACCAAGGCGUCGACCGGUAGCCGGCCUGAGAGGAUGUACGGCCACAUUGGGACUGAGAUACGGCACAGCCUCCUACGCGAGGCAGCAGUGGGGAAUAUUGCACAAUGGGCGCAAGCCUGAUGCAGCGCAGCCGCGUGGGGGAUGACGGCAUUCGGGUUGUAAACUCAUUUCGCUAGGGACGAAGCGCAAGUGACGGUACCUGGAGAAGAAGCACCGGCUAACUACGUG